UAGGGAAUCUUCCGCAAUGGACGCAAGUCUGACGGAGCAACGCCGCGUGAGUGAAGAAGGUUUUCGGAUCGUAAAACUCUGUUGUAAGAGAAGAACAAAUUGUAGAGUAACUGCUACAGUCUUGACGGUAUCUUACCAGAAAGCCACGGCUAACUACGUGCCAGCAGCCGCGGUAAUACGUAGGUGGCAAGCGUUGUCCGGAAUUAUUGGGCGUAAAGAGUGCGUAGGCGGCAAAUUAAGUCAGAUGUGAAAACUAAGGGCUCAACCCAUAGAUUGCAUCUGAAACUGAUAUGCUUGAGUCAAGGAGAGGAAAGUGGAAUUCCUAGUGUAGCGGUGGAAUGCGUAGAUAUUAGGAGGAAUACCGGUGGCGAAGGCGACUUUCUGGACUUGAACUGACGCUGAGGCACGAAAGCGUGGGGAGCAAACAGG
rnacentral:rRNA from 1 species